CCUACGGGAGGCACCAGUGGGGAAUAUUGGACAAUGGGCGAAAGCCUGAUCCAGCAAUGCCGCGUGUGUGAAGAGGGUCUUCGGAUUGUAAAGCACUUUCGACGGGGACAAUGAUGACGGUACCCGUAGAAGAAGCCCCGGCUAACUUCGUGCCAGCAGCCGCGGUAAUACGAAGGGGGCUAGCGUUGCUCGGAAUGACUGGGCGUAAAGGGCGCGUAGGCGGUUUAUGCAGUCAGAUGUGAAAUCCCCCGGCUUAACCUGGGAACUGCAUUUGAGACGCAUAGACUAGAGGUCGAGAGAGGGUUGUGGAAUUCCCAGUGUAGAGGUGAAAUUCGUAGAUACUGGGAAGAGCACCGGUGGCGAAGGCGGCAACCUGGCUCGAUACUGACGCUGAGGCGCGAAAGCGUGGGGUGCAAACAGGAUUAGAUACCCCUGUAGUC
rnacentral:rRNA from 1 species